UACGGAGGGAGCUAGCGUUGUUCGGAAUUACUGGGCGUAAAGCGCACGUAGGCGGCUUUGUAAGUUAGAGGUGAAAGCCUGGAGCUCAACUCCAGAACUGCCUUUAAGACUGCAUCGCUUGAAUCCAGGAGAGGUGAGUGGAAUUCCGAGUGUAGAGGUGAAAUUCGUAGAUAUUCGGAAGAAACACCAGUGGCGAAGGCGGCUCACUGGACUGGUAUUGACGCUGAGAUA
rnacentral:rRNA from 1 species